rnacentral:ncRNA from 23 species
ACACUCGCACGCACUUUGGGUGCUCGCCCGCGCGUUCGUGCGCGGGCAGUUAAACGGGAAACAGGGAGCCAUCUGCUCUGGAGCGGCUAACCUGUGCUGUCCCCGCAACGGUAAGCGAAAAGCGGUAACGGUCGAAUGGCCGGACACCGCGAAGCCGGCUUCGAUGUCCACGCGCAAGGCCGCGUCGGCAUAUCACCACUGGACGAGAAAUCACUCGACCGGGAAGGGGAAGCGGCUCAUUCGCCAGCCCGGAUACCGGCCCGAAGAUGCAGGACGUAC